CUGGGCCGAGGGCGGGCUGGCGGCGCUGCAGGAGGCCACCGGGCUGCCCUGCUGGGCCGCCAUCGCCGGCGGGGCCGCCUUGCUGCGCACCGCCGUGACCCUCCCGCUGGCCGCGCAGCAGGGGCGGCUGCUGGCUAAGCUAGCUGGAAAACCUGCAGCCUGAGAUUAAGGAGCUCGCCCAGCGCCUUCGCUAUGAAGUUUCAGUGCGUGGGAAGCAGCUGGGCUGGUCUGAGAAGGUGGCCAGGUCCCACUUCGCCAGGAACAUGCGGAGGAUUGUCACGGAGCUGUACGUCCGGGACAACUGCCACCCCUUCAAAGCCACCCUGCUGCUGUGGGUGCAGGUGCCCAUGUGGGUGUGCGUGUCCCUGGCUCUGCGCAACUGCAGCGUCGGUGCCCUGGGCCCUGCAGUGCAAGAGCAGUUUUCCUCAGGAGGAGCACUGUGGUUCACAGACCUCACGGCACCUGAUUCCACGUGGAUUUUGCCGCUGUCCCUGGGGCUGGUGAAUUUGCUGGUGGUGGAGAUCUUUGCUUCCCAAACGAAAGUGCCAGUUUCGCGGAUCCAGAAGAUUGCCACCAACUUCUUCCGCGCGGUGUCCGUGGUGAUGAUCCCUAUUGCUGCCACAGUGCCCUCUGUUUUCUACUGCAGAGUGUUCUUAGCAAAAACAAAGUGUCUGGUUGUUCGGCUCAAUUACAGUUUCAAACACAGAAGUUUAAUCUGACAGCUCUUAAACUAAUUCAAGCCUCAGUGUAGAUGGCCCUUUUCCCCAGAAGAGUUGAGAGACAGACAGUUGCAUUUCACAUGGAAGCCAUUAUUGCAGAUGAGAGCAGGAGGAGUGGUUUAGUCCAUGGCGCUGUACUGGCUGUCCUCGAGCCUCGUGGGCCUGUCCCACAACCUCCUGCUGCGCUCUCCCGCCUUCCGCCGCCUGUGCCGCAUCCCGAGGACCGCGUCCGAGUCGGAUACGCCCUACCGGGACGUGGUGGCU